rnacentral:snoRNA from 1 species
AACCAAGGUGUUGAGCAUAGUUCAGGACUGUUCUGGUAAUUACCCUGUUCUAGUAAUUAAACUUGGGGACAGUAAGACAGGGGCUGGGAGAGAUGACUGGAUAGUAGUUAUUUCUCUAUGUAUUUCCCACCUAGCCUACAAAA